UUGGGGACAAGGACUUUGGGGACAAGGAUGUCCCAUCCCCCAUGGGCUUUGGGGACAAGGACGUCCCACCCCCUAAGGCCAUUGGGGACAAGGACAUUGGGGACAAGGACUUUGGGGGCAAGGAUGUCCCAUCCCCUAUGGGCUUUGCGGACGAGGACAAUGGGGACAAGGAUGUCCCAUCCCCUCUGGGCUUUGGGGACAAGGACUUUGGGGAGAAGGAUGUCCCAUCCCCUAUCGGCUUUGGGGACAAGGAUGUUGGGGACAAGGACAUCCCACCCCCUAAGGCCUUUGGGGACAAGGACUUUAGGGACAUGAAUGUCCCAUCCCCUAUCGGCUUUGGGGACAAGGACGCUGGGGACAAGGAUGUCCCACCCCCUAAGGCCUUUGGGGACAAGGACAAUGGGGACAUCCCAACCCCAGGAGAUGUUUGGGAUGAGGAGGUUGGGGACAUCCAGGUCCCAACCCUAAGGGACUUUGGGGACAGAGAGUUUGGGGACAGAGAGUUUGGGGACAAAGAGUUUGGGGACAAAGAGAUUGGGGACAAAGAGAUUGGGGACAGGGAUUUUGGGGACAAAGAGUUUGGGGACAAAGAGAUUGGGGACAAAGAGUUUGGGGACAAAGAGUUUGGGGCCGAGGCCAUCUCAGCCCCGCAGGACUUGGGGGGCAGGGAUGUCCCCCCCCGAGGGGACAUUGGGGUCGUGCCCCACGGGGACGGGGACAUCCCGGCCUUUGGGGUCAGCGAGGAUGGCCGUGGGGACACGGUUGGGGACAUGGGGGGCGUGGAUGUCACCGCCCGGGGGGGUGAUGGGGACAGAGAGGGGACGUCGGG
rnacentral:lncRNA from 1 species